rnacentral:lncRNA from 1 species
UCAUCCUGGGGCUCUCAACCACUCCAUCCUCUCCUCAGUCUUGAGAGGAGGGGUGGAACAGGAGGUUUAUGCCCCUUCAGUGAUAAGGGGGGUGAUAAGGGGAGCCCAGACUCUCCCACUCCAUUCUCUGUUUCGCACUAACUACUAACUCCAUUAACUUCACUGAAGUUAUGAUAUACACUGGUGUGAGAUAAGAAUUAGGCCCAUAUGCUCUACUGAAAUGAGUGUAUUUUGAGGAAAGUGUGUGUAUGUGUCUCCUCUAAGGCCUACUCACAUUUCUCCUUUUUAAUUCCUUUAUUUUUGACCCAUCCUUCCAGCCAAAGAGGUUUGAAAGUCAUCUCCCUGCAGAGCUCUUCAAUGCCACUCCUGGAUUAGUUGGAGAGAGUGUCAUUAAGGAAAAGGAAGCAAGUGCUGUUGUUCACAAUAUGAAACAAGACUGUGAAAAAACCAGUGUCAACUUGGGUCAGAUUAAUUCCUGUGCAUAUGGAAGGACUCCUAAGGGAGAUGUGUGUCAUUCAGUAUGCAAAGGAAAAACAGAUCAAAACCCAUCAAGUGAGACAGACUGUAUUCAAGUAUCCUUGUCUUCCCAAGUAGAUUCAUUUUCUCAGUCUCAACUGACGGCUCAAGAGAGCAAUCAUCUGGGAUCUAGCAAAGUCUUCCGUCAGAAAUUCAAUAGCAGUGUUAGUUCACUCCCUCAUCUGGAAGGCCAAACGAAGCACAAUUUCAUUGUAAACGCCACCAGACCUCAUCCACAAGACAG